GCUAAGUCCGGGGCAGGAGCCGCGGUAAUACGUAGGUUCCAAGGGUUAUCCGGAAUCAUUGUGGUUAACGGGUCCGGAGGCGGCCUUAUAAGUCAGCGGUGAAAGUUUUUGGCUUAACCAAAAAAUUGCCAUUGAUACUGUAGGGCUGGAAUAUUUGUGAAGUAACUAGAAUAUGUAGUGUAGCGGUGAAAUGCUUAGAUAUUACAUGGAAUACCAAUUGCGAAGGCAGGUUACUAACAAAUGAUUGACGCUGAUGGACGAAAGCGUGGGUAGCGAACAGGAUUAGAUACCCCUGUAGUC
rnacentral:rRNA from 1 species